CCUACGGGAGGCAGCAGUGGGGAAUAUUGCACAAUGGGGGGAACCCUGAUGCAGCGACGCCGCGUGGGUGAAGGAGCGUUUCGGCGCGUAAAGCCCUAUCGGCAGGGAAGAAGAUGACGGUACCUGGCCAAGAAGCCCCGGCUAAUUACGGGCCAGCAGCCGCGGUAAUACGUAGGGGGCAAGCGUUAUCCGGAUUUACUGGGUGUAAAGGGGGCGCAGGCGGCAGUGCAAGCCAGGAGUGAAAGCCCGGGGCCCAACCCCGGGACUGCUCUUGGAACUGCAUGGCUGGAGUACAGGAGGGGCAGGCGGAAUUCCUAGUGUAGCGGUGAAAUGCGUAGAUAUUAGGAGGAACACCGGUGGCGAAGGCAGCCUGCUGGACUGUGACUGACGUUGAGGCCCGAAGGCGUGGGGAGCAAACAGGAUUAGAUACCCGUGUAGUC
rnacentral:rRNA from 1 species